CCUACGGGGGGCAGCAGUGGGGAAUAUUGCACAAUGGGGGAAACCCUGAUGCAGCGACGCCGCGUGAGUGAAGAAGUAUCUCGGUACGUAAAGCUCUAUCAGCAGGGAAGAAAAUGACGGUACCUGACUAAGAAGCUCCGGCAAACUACGUGCCAGCAGCCGCGGCAACACGUAGGGGGCAAGCGUUAUCCGGAUUUACUGGGUGUAAGGGAGCGUAGACGGCAGCACAAGUCGGGAGUGAAAUCCCGCGGCUUAACCCCGGAACUGCUUUGGAAACUGUGCGGCUGGAGUGCAGGAGGGGUAAGCGGAAUUCCUGGUGUAGCGGUGAAAUGCGUAGAUAUUAGGAAGAACACCGAUGGCGAAGGCAGCUUACUGAACUGUAACUGACGUUGAGGCUCGAAAGCGUGGGGAGCAAACAGGAUUAGAUACCCCUGUAGUC
rnacentral:rRNA from 1 species